CCCUUAGAUGUUCUGGGCCGCACGCGCGCUACACUGAUGCAUUCAACGAGUCUAAAACCUGGUCUGAUAGGGCUGGGUAAUCUUUUGAAUGUGCAUCGUGAUUGGGAUGGAUGAUUGCAAUUCUUCAUCUUCAACGAGGAAUGCCUAGUAAACGCAAGUCAUCAGCUUGCAUUGAUUACGUCCCUGCCCUUUGUACACACCGCCCGUCGCUCCUACCGAUUGAAUGUUCCGAUGAAUACCAUGGACUGAGAGUAUGAAUGGGUUCGCCUAUUUCUGCUUCUCGGGAAGUGGAGUAAAUCUUAACAUUUAGAGGAAGGAGAAGUCGUAACA
rnacentral:rRNA from 1 species